UGUUCUGUAGCUUAGUUGGUUAAAGCGGCGGUCUAGCGUACACGGAGUCGUGAGUUCGAGUCUCACUAGAACGC
rfam:Aedes aegypti strain Liverpool supercont1.139 genomic scaffold, whole genome shotgun sequence.